rnacentral:rRNA from 1 species
GACGAACGCUGGCGGCGUGCUUAACACAUGCAAGUCGAACGGAAAGGCCCUGCUUUUGUGGGGUGCUCGAGUGGCGAACGGGUGAGUAACACGUGAGUAACCUGCCCUUGACUUUGGGAUAACUUCAGGAAACUGGGGCUAAUACCGGAUAGGAGCUCCUGCUGCAUGGUGGGGGUUGGAAAGUUUCGGCGGUUGGAGAUGGACUCGCGGCUUAUCAGCUUGUUGGUGGGGUAGUGGCUUACCAAGGCUUUGACGGGUAGCCGGCCUGAGAGGGUGACCGGCCACAUUGGGACUGAGAUACGGCCCAGACUCCUACGGGAGGCAGCAGUGGGAAAUAUUGCACAAUGGGCGAAAGCCUGAUGCAGCAACGCCGCGUGCGGGAUGACGGCCUUCGGGUUGUAAACCGCUUUCGCCUGUGACGAAGCGUGAGUGACGGUAAUGGGUAAAGAAGCACCGGCUAACUACGUG